GGGAGACAAGUUGAAUGUCUAAACUAUCGGCUUAACUGAUAGUCGCGUUCAAAACUAUCACUCUUGAGUGCAGUAGAGGUAGGCGGAAUUCCUAGUGUAGCGGUGAAAUGCGUAGAUAUUAGGAGGAACACCAGUGGCGAAGGCGGCCUACUGGGCUGUAACUGACGCUGAGGCUCGAAAGCGUGGGUAGCAAACAGGAUUAGAUACCCUGGUAGUCCACGCCGUAAACGAUGAUUACUAGGUGUGGGGGGACUGACCCCUUCCGUGCCGGAGUUAACACAAUAAGUAAUCCACCUGGGGAGUACGACCGCAAGGUUGAAACUCAAAGGAAUUGACGGGGGCCCGCACAAGCAGUGGAGUAUGUGGUUUAAUUCGAAGCAACGCGAAGAACCUUACCAGGUCUUGACAUCGAGCGACGAACUUAGAGAUAAGUUCUUCCUUCGGGACGCGAAGACAGGUGGUGCAUGGUUGUCGUCAGCUCGUGUCGUGAGAUGUUGGGUUAAGUCCCGCAACGAGCGCAACCCUUAUCAUUAGUUGACCG
rnacentral:rRNA from 1 species